GCAAUCUUUAUGUAUCUCAUAAUACUUGGCUCAUCAGCAAAUUUGUUAAGGCCUUCCUCCAAUUUGUAUUGUUCGUCAACAGACCACUCAACAGCCAAGCCAGUAUCAUGGUUGAGGCCAGGAGCAGAAUCAAGAAGAAGAGAAGAAGCAGAAGAAUUGACAGCUGGAACAUGAAGAAUUCCGGGACUGUUAUUAAUCAUGCUGGAAUUCCCUGGCAACAUCACAGUACUAGUACUAGUAUUUAUCCCAAAGUAACUCCCUAUCGGAAUCAUCUCAGAUGAAUUAUUUAUUGCAUCAGAAUGAAAGGAUAUCGCGUGCCGAUUGAGCGCAGAACCCAAAGCUUCUUCCCGACGAAACCCAGUAUUGGACUCCGCUGCCAUUUUCUCUACCAAAAUUCUCUAGCACACCAUAAUCUCACACAACUCACAUCUCAACACUUCACUUGCUCUUUUUAGGGCCACUUUCCGACGGAGCCCUAAUUGGCCAAGUUGGGGUGAUUUGCCUUUGGCUUUGCCUUUUUCUCUCACUCCCUACUUCUACUUGCGCCUGCUGCCAACACACACAGUGCCACUCACUACUCUAAGCCU
rnacentral:misc_RNA from 1 species